rnacentral:tRNA from 1 species
GUCAGGAUGGCCGAGCGGUCUAAGGCGCUGUGUUCAGGUCGCAGUCUCCAAUGGAGGCGUGGGUUCAAAUCCCACUUCUGACA